rnacentral:ncRNA from 2 species
CCCAAGAGCCGUGGCGAUUUGUUCACCGGAUUGCGGGCCACGUUAAACAUGCCGCUAAAGAGGUCUGGGUAAGCCCCCG